rnacentral:rRNA from 1 species
GGAUGGGGAAGGGGGGCGCGAGCCUUACCGACUCUAACCAAACUCCGAAUACCGAAGAGUGCAAUCUAGGCAGACAGACGGCGGGUGCUAAGGUCCGUCGUCAAAAGGGAAACAGCCCUGACCGCCAGCUAAGGUCCCUAAGUUACAGCUAAGUGGGAAAGGAUGUGAGGAGGCCAAGACAACCAGGACGUUGGCUUAGAAGCAGCCAUCGUUUAACGAAAGCGUAAUAGCUCACUGGUCUAAAUAAGCCGCCUUGCGCCGAAGAUGUACCGGGGCUCAAGCUGUACACCGAAGCUGCGGGUUCGAUCUAUGAUCGAGCGGUAGCGGAGCGUUCCGUAAGUCCGCGAAGGGAUACCCGCGAGGGAUCCUGGAGAUAUCGGAAGUGCGAAUGCUGACAUGAGUAGCGAUAAAGAGUGUGAGAAACACUCUCGCCGUAAGCCCAAGGGUUCCUGCGCAAGGCUAAUCCGCGCAGGGUGAGCCGGCCCCUAAGCCGAGGCCGAAAGGCGUAGGCGAUGGGAAUCUGGUUAAUAUUCCAGAGCCUCUCGGGACGUGACGGAUGGUGGA